AUUGAACGCUGGCGGCAGGCCUAACACAUGCAAGUCGAGCGGUAACAUUUCUAGCUUGCUAGAAGAUGACGAGCGGCGGACGGGUGAGUAACGCGUGAGAAUCUACCCAUGAGUGGGGGACAACCCGGGGAAACUCGGGCUAAUACCGCAUACGCCCUACGGGGUAAAGCAGGGGACCUUCGGGCCUUGCGCUGAUGGAUGAGCUCGCGUCGGAUUAGCUUGUUGGUGAGGUAAAGGCUCACCAAGGCGACGAUCCGUAGCUGGUCUGAGAGGAUGAUCAGCCACACCGGGACUGAGACACGGCCCGGACUCCUACGGGAGGCAGCAGUGGGGAAUCUUGGACAAUGGGGGCAACCCUGAUCCAGCCAUGCCGCGUGUGUGAAGAAGGCCUUCGGGUUGUAAAGCACUUUCAGCAGGGAGGAAGGCUUACCCCUAAUACGGGUGAGUACUUGACGUUACCUGCAGAAGAAGCACCGGCUAAUUUCGUG
rnacentral:rRNA from 1 species